AUGGGAGCCAUCGAUGCCAUUUCCUUAGUUUCUAAAGUACUAUUCUCUUCUGAGUAUUCAGUAAAUAUACUAAUUCAGCAUUGCUUCUUGCAAAGCUUGAGUUUGAGCUUGAUUAGCAAGUUUAUAAACUUUCUUGUGGCCAGCGAACCAUGGUUCUUUGCAUUUAUAGCAUAUUCCUUCUAUCCUUGCUUGUUGAAUGGCAACUGCUGUCUUAGUAAUGACAGGUUUCAGUUCUUCUCACAAAAAGAGGUAAUUGCUGAACAUAUCGUCUCUUUGGUUGUUGGGCAUGUUCCAUUCUUCUAG
rnacentral:rRNA from 1 species